rnacentral:rRNA from 1 species
AAUGAACGUUGGCGGCGUGGAUUAGGCAUGCAAGUCGAGCGAGUCUACCUGGUAGCAAUAUUGGGUAAGUCGAGCGGCGUAAGGGGCAGUAAUACCUGGGAACGUACCCUGAGGUUGGGGAUAGCUGCUGGAAACGGCGAGUAAUACCCGAUGAACUCGAGAGAGCAAAAGGCUUGCCGCCGGAGGAGCGGCCCAGGCGAUAUUAGCUAGUUGGUGAGGUAAUGGCUUACCAAGGCUUAGAUGUCUAGCGGGUGUGAGAGCACGACCCGCGCCACUGGCACUGAGACACUGGCCAGACACCUACGGGUGGCUGCAGUCGAGAAUCUUCGGC